CUUGAGUCUGGGAUUUCCGAAUGGGGAAACCCACUUGCAUAAGCAAGUAUCAUUAACUGAAUACAUAGGUUAAUGAGGCAAACCGGGGGAACUGAAACAUCUAAGUACCCCGAGGAAGAGAAAUCAACCGAGAUUCCGGUAGUAGCGGCGAGCGAAACCGGAUUAGCCCUUAAGCUAGUUCUGCGUUAGGUGAAUGUACUGGAAAGUACAGCGAUACAGGGUGAUAGCCCCGUAACCAAAAAUGCAGUCUUAGUGAAAUCGAGUAGGACGGGACACGUGAUAUCCUGUUUGAACAUGGGGGGACCAUCCUCCAAGGCUAAAUACUCCUGACUGACCGAUAGUGAACCAGUACCGUGAGGGAAAGGCGAAAAGAACCCCUGUGAGGGGAGUGAAAUAGAACCUGAAACCGUGUACGUACAAGCAGUAGGAGCAUACUUGUUAUGUGACUGCGUACCUUUUGUAUAAUGGGUCAGCGACUUAAUUUUAGUAGCAAGGUUAACCGUUUAGGGGAGCCGUAGGGAAACCGAGUCUUAACUGGGCGAAUUAGUUGCUAGGAUUAGACCCGAAACCGAGUGAUCUAGCCAUGGGCAGGUUGAAGGUGAGGUAACACUUACUGGAGGACCGAACCGACUAAUGUUGAAAAAUUAGCGGAUGACUUGUGGCUAGGGGUGAAAGGCCAAUCAAACUCGGAGAUAGCUGGUUCUCCCCGAAAGCUAUUUAGGUAGCGCCUCGGACGAAUACUACUGGGGGUAGAGCACUGGUUAAGGCUAGGGGGUCAUCCCGACUUACCAACCCUUUGCAAACUCCGAAUACCAGUAAGUAAUAUCCGGGAGACACACGGCGGGUGCUAACGUCCGUCGUGAAGAGGGAAACAACCCAGACCGCCAGCUAAGGUCCCAAAGUUAUAGCUAAGUGGGAAACGAUGUGGGAAGGCUCAGACAGCCAGGAUGUUGGCUUAGAAGCAGCCAUCAUUUAAAGAAAGCGUAAUAGCUCACUGGUCGAGUCGGCCUGCGCGGAAGAUUUAACGGGGCUAAGCUAUACACCGAAGCUGCGGCAAUGUG
rnacentral:ncRNA from 1 species